ensembl:lncRNA
UUUUUUGCUUUUCUCCAGAAUGGGGGGCCCAACAGGAAGAAGCACGGCAGAAGUUCAACCAACACAUGUGAGAAGGUCAACUCAGGUUGUCGUCGUGACUACACUUCCUGACCCAACCAGUUACCCCCGCUUUUACUUUCUACAGAGCACAGGAUUCCUAUGCAAACAUCUGGAUGUGAUCCCCUAGUAUUGGCUGCUUGGUCACAGUGCAACGUGACCUCUCUGCAGUCCCACAACUUGCUGUUCUGCAAAUCCAUCGUUGGGACAGCAACAUUGUAUUCUUGUGGUUAAGCUGUUCUUUGGACAUUCACAGCGCAGUGGGGAAAAGAAAACAUUUCAUAACCGGGAAAACCGAUUUGGCCCUGAGACUCCGUGGUCCCUGUGACAACCGCGUGGGAACCGAGGUGGAUGGCAGCCAAGCACACACAUCUGGAAGGAUCCAUCCCAGAGGUCAAAGGAGUUUAUUGAGGCCGCUGCCAUCACAGAGCCCAUCCCUCCACCUCAAGCACCUCUUCUGAAUUGGUAGCCCUAAGCCACCCAAUCCCCAGGAAGAUAGAAAGAUUAACCAUCGACUGAUGGUUUAAAAUUGUUGAUGCCUUUUUGUAAUGUGCAAUAUUAUUUCCAUUAAAUCACUGGUUCUUGUUUGUAUGAUAUUUAUUAGGGGUGUGCAUCACCAUCUCUUCUUUACAGGACGAUCCAAUACGUAUCUAGAUACAUGUGCUACGAUACGGUUCAGGGACGAUACAUUUUACACUUUUUCUCAGUCGCUUUGGUACAUUUCUCAGAUCAGAAUUGAAAUUGGCAAAACAGUAAGUGCAUUUCUCAAAACAAUUCGUACAAAUAGCAAAACUCCAUUGAUUUCAUGUAAAAGCAAGUCUCUUGCUCAAAAUCCUUUGUUCGUUUCUCAAAAGUAAAUAUCUGUGUCAAUGAACAUGUCAGUGCCAUCAAAAUGACAAGUCCUUGUGUCAUUGUGUAUGGAUAAGACAGUCAAAUUGCUUAGUCAUGUUGUGAAUAUAACAGUGGGAUGUUCUGAUGUAAACCAUGGCUAAAGUUUUGAAGACAAUUAUUGUCAAUUGUAAGUUACACCUUAGUGUAUGUGGGAGAUUGAUUGCAAGAGACAGAACAAGAUUCACAUUUACGCUUUGACUGUUUGUACUGUAAUUUGUUGACAGACCAUGUCAUUGCUAGAAAUGUGAACAUAGGAAAAUCUUCUUAUGGUAAACUGUACAUGCAUUGCUGUAGGAAUAACAGUGCAGUCAUCCACUCCUGACGUUCUUGUCUGUUGGGCCACAAAUUCUCAGACAAUGUUACAUUGUGUUAUGCUCCAGCUAUAUACUUUAUAUACUUGCCAGUUCAUGGUUCAGGAGAUGCACCUUUGAACUAUUCCAGUAAACUGGUUGAUCGUUGGUUGAUCUAACACUUCACACAUUUCCCUUCUUUAGAGAAAGUCAAGAUUCACCUGGUAGCAAUUUACCAAUUCAGGACAGAUUUAGAAAAAAAGUCUGAUGGAAAUGUUUAGAAAUAUGCUUGAAAUAUUAUGACAACAUGUUCAACCAUUUUGCAUGUAAAGAUUUAUGCAAUGAACUAAUGCCUAAAUGUUUUUGGGGUGAGACUAUUCAAUGGAGACCCAUUACAAUACAUUUUGAUCAACAUGACGUAAGCAAUGUUGAAUUCUCAUUCAAAGAAAUGAGAAACUGCUUUUUGGAUGUGCACAAACGACAGAAUGAUGUGAAGAUUGAACAGGUUGUUUUGAGAAUUUCAAUUCUGAUCUGAGAAAUGUACCAAAGCGACUGAGAAAAACUGUUCCAAUUGGAUGGCAACCGGAUACCGUGGAUGGCUUACUACCUCAAGUUCUAUGUUUAUUCUGGUUUCAUAUAUUAUGUUGAUCUUGUAUAAUGUUUGAUCCAAAAUAAAGUUUCUGCAGUUUCUAACAGAUUGUGAGCAUGAAUAAUGUUGUUAUCUAAUCAUACCGUGCUUUUCCAUGUGGGUAAGGUUGCAUUCCUAAGACAUUCGAACUAUAAAGGAAAAUUUCAGAGAUGGA